rnacentral:snRNA from 1 species
GUGCUCACUUUGACAGCACAUAUACUAAACUUGGAAUGAUUCAGAGAAGAUUAGCAUGGCCCCUGCACAAGGAUGACACGCAGGUUCGUGAAGUGUUCCAUAUUAAA